UACGUAGGGGGCAAGCGUUGUCCGGAUUUAUUGGGCGUAAAGAGCGUGUAGGCGGUUUGGUAGGUCCGCUGUGAAAACUCGAGGCUCAACCUCGAGACGCCGGUGGAAACCAUCAGGCUAGAGUCCGGAAGAGGAGAGUGGAAUUCCUGGUGUAGCGGUGAAAUGCGCAGAUAUCGGGAAGAACACCCGUGGCUAAGGCGGCUCACUGGCCCGUUACCGACGCUCAGGCGCGACAGCGUGGGGAGCAAACAGG
rnacentral:rRNA from 1 species